GGUUGUGUUGGUGUUGAGGGUGUUGUUGACGCAGUGCGCCGUGCUGCGUACGCACUUCUGUCGUAGGUUACCCAUGAAGAGCUGAAGGCCGAUGAGGGCGAACACACUGAGGCAGAAAACGGUUAGGAUCAUAACGUCCGCCAGCUUCUUCACUGACUGGAUCAGCGCACCCACGAUGGUCUUCAGGCCUUCCCAGGAAAACAGGGGCAGAGGUCAAUAGCAGACGGCGUGGGCCAAAGGAGGUCAGCCGUGAAGAGCCUGACGCACCAUGUCUCUGAAGAGCACCAGACAACAGGAAGUAGUGGUGGAAUACCUGGGCCAUGACUGAUUGGUUCCUGGUCCCAUGGCCGUCCCCUACGACGGGGGGGGGUACUGUCACGUCUACUCCCGCCCUGGUGCUCAACAUCGCCGGUUUACUAACCACCGGUCCUGCCAACCCAUCAUCACACAUACACCUGGCAAUCCAUAUUAUGCACACCUGCUCUGCAAUGCAGUAAAAUGUAAAACCUGAAGUGUAUUUAAAGUUUGAAAUAGCUUUUCUAAAGUUUAUCAUUUCCACUUUGAAAUGUCAGACUAUUUUAUCUUUUUUCUUUAUUAUUUUGGUUAGGUCAGGGUGUGACAUGGGGGAUGUAUGUGUUUUGUCUUA